UUUGCCUAGGUGGACAAUUGGGUUGUUUUUUAUUUAUUCGCUUUCUUCUUCUCGAUGCAAAACUUCUCACUGUGAAAAAUUUAGGGGUUUAGGGUUUACAAUGUGUUUUGAUUUAUGCCAAAUUCCUCAGAUGUAGCUUGAAGGAGGAUCAAAUUACUGCUUCCAAUCGUAAAUCGGUUGCUCCACCGUCGUUGAAGAUUCCAGGAACUCAGGUCAUUCUCCACCAAGCUCUCUCUCGAUUCCAUUUUCGAAUUGCUUCGAUGUUCUAUAUUUUCGAAGAUCCGUUCAGAUCAGAUGUUUAAUUGAAUCGAUUUGGAUAGCAGAGCUCAAGGACGAGGAAGGAUUGCUCGUAUUCACAGGAGACUACUUGUCAUUGAAACUGAAAAGAGAAUUAUGCAAUAUCAGAGCUAUAUUGAAGAAGGACGUGAUAAGGAUGCAGAAACCGUAUUUGGUUUGCUAAUAUACAGCCUUGAACGUUUGUAUCGGGUUGUCGAGAAACCUGCAAGAGCAACCGACGACUGGGAUUUAGUGAAACAAGAUCUUAUUGAGUUAGGAAGGCCACAGCAUCAAACAUCAUACAAGCUAAUGGUAACUUAUUUUAUGAAAAUAGAAGCCUGCUGCAGAUUCACGCUCCAUUGCUGGACAACAGUGCUCUUUCGAUCAAACGUAGCAAGAACAGUGGAGAGUUAUUACUGAUCGAAUUCUCUGCCUGAACUUUAGAAAUAAAGAGAAACUAAGAUUUGUUACACACAACAUCAGAUUUAAAACCAGAGAGAGACUUGACAUGGUAAAACUGGAAAAACAAAACAGAUAAAACGGCGGAGAAAGAAAGGUUUUAGCUCAUUAUUUCCUCAAUUAAAGAUAGGCAUCGCAUUAGAAAUUCGGGCCGAUAAAAUUUGGGUUAAGUACUUAUUUUUGUAAUAUUUUAUCCCAAAUCAAGUAUUUUAUAAUUUAGUCCAAGAGUUAAUUUAAAAAAUAGAUAGGCGGCAUAGGCCAAGUGUAAAUUAACCAUCGUUGUAGGAGUGGUUAAAGCAUACCUGUGUGAUCAAGUUUCGAUAAGACCAGGGAUGUUCAUUGUUUCCACUUGGUGUGAUGCAUGGUAAUACAAAUUAAACAUUUCUCA